rnacentral:rRNA from 1 species
GUGCAGCAGUCGCGAAUCCUCCGCAAUGCACGCAAGUGUGACGGGGGAUUCCAAGUGUUAUUGCAUUUUGUGUGAUAACUUUUCUUAAAUGUAAAUAGUUUGAGGAAUAAGGGCUGGGUAAGACGGGUGCCAGCCGCCGCGGUAAUACCCGCAGCUCAAGUGGUCUGGAGUUUUAUUGGGUCUAAAGCGUUCGUAGCUGGGUCUAUAAGUUCUCUGUGAAAUCUAACGGGCUUAACCGUUAGGCGUGCAGAGGAUACUGUAGACCUCGAGACUGGGAUGGGUCAAGGGGUACUCUCGGGGUAGGGGUGAAAUCCAAUAAUCCUGAGGGGACCACCGUGUGGCGAAGGCGCUUGGCUAGAACAGGGUCUGACAGUGAGGGACGAAAGCUAGGGGAGCGAACGGGAUUAGAUACCCGUGUAGU